GACCCUUGAAAAGGAAGAUCAAGACAGCUUCUAAGAAGCUUUCUUGAUGGAGGGGAGCGGCAGACGGGUGAGUAACGCGUGGGAAUCUACCGUGCCCUACGGAAUAGCUCCGGGAAACUGGAAUUAAUACCGUAUACGCCCUUUGGGGGAAAGAUUUAUCGGGGUAUGAUGAGCCCGCGUUGGAUUAGCUAGUUGGUGGGGUAAAGGCCUACCAAGGCGACGCUCCAUAGCUGGUCUGAGAGGAUGAUCAGCCACAUUGGGACUGAGACACGGCCCAAACUCCUACGGGAGGCAGCAGUGGGGAAUAUUGGACAAUGGGCGCAAGCCUGAUCCAGCCAUGCCGCGUGAGUGAUGAAGGCCCUAGGGUUGUAAAGCUCUUUCACCGGUGAAGAUAAUGACGGUAACCGGAGAAGAAGCCCCGGCUAACUUCGUGCCAGCAGCCGCCGUAACAC
rnacentral:rRNA from 1 species